rnacentral:rRNA from 1 species
GUAACAGGUGCUGGAGGUCCGAACCCACUAGUGUUGCAAAACUAGGGGAUGAGCUGUGGAUAGGGGUGAAAGGCUAAACAAACUUGGAAAUAGCUGGUUCUCUCCGAAAACUAUUUAGGUAGUGCCUCAAGUAUUACCUUCGGGGGUAGAGCACUGUUUAGGCUAGGGGGUCAUGGCGACUUACCAAACCUAUGCAAACUCCGAAUACCGAAGAGUACAGCUUGGGAGACAGAGCACCGGGUGCUAACGUCCGGACUCAAGAGGGAAACAACCCAGACCGCCAGCUAAGGUCCCAAAGAUUGGCUAAGUGGAAAACGAAGUGGGAAGGCUAAAACAGUCAGGAUGUUGGCUUAGAAGCAGCCA